rfam:Blastocystis sp. NandII AV274scaffold_72, whole genome shotgun sequence.
GCUCUGUUAGCUCAGUCGGUAGAGCGUCGUGCUUAUGUCGCGAUGGUCAAGGGUUCGAUCCCCUUAUGGAGCA